UACGUAGGGGGCGAGCGUUGUCCGGAAUCAUUGGGCGUAAAGAGCGUGUAGGCGGUCCGGUAAGUCCGCUGUGAAAGUCGGGGGCUCAACCCUCGAAUGCCGGUGGAUACUGUCGGGCUAGAGUGCGGAAGAGGCGAGUGGAAUUCCUGGUGUAGCGGUGAAAUGCGCAGAUAUCAGGAGGAACACCUAUUGCGAAGGCAGCUCGCUGGGACGUUACUGACGCUGAGACGCGAAAGCGUGGGGAGCAAACAGG
rnacentral:rRNA from 1 species